rnacentral:rRNA from 1 species
AACGUAGGAGGCGAGCGUUAUCCGGAUUUACUGGGUGUAAAGCGCGUGCAGGCGGUUCGCUAAGUUGGAUGUGAAAGCUCCCGGCUCAACUGGGAGAGGUCGUACAAGACUGGCGGACUGGAGUGUGGUAAGGGAAGGUGGAAUUCCGGGUGUAGUGGUGAAAUGCGUAGAUAUCCGGAGGAACACCAGUGGCGAAGGCGGCCUUCUGGACCACGACUGACGCUCAGACGCGAAAGCUAGGGUAGCAAACGGG